CCUACGGGUGGCAGCAGUCGAGAAUCAUUCACAAUGGGGGAAACCCUGAUGGUGCGACGCCGCGUGGGGGAAUGAAGGUCUUCGGAUUGUAAACCCCUGUCAUGUGGGAGCAAAUUAAAAAGAUAGUACCACAAGAGGACGAGACGGCUAACUCUGUGCCAGCAGCCGCGGUAAUACAGAGGUCUCAAGCGUUGUUCGGAAUCACUGGGCGUAAAGCGUGCGGAGGCUGUUUCGUAAGUCGUGUGUGAAAGGCGCGGGCUCAACCCGCGGACGGGACAGGAUACGGCGAGACUAGAGUAGUGGAGGGGGAACCGGAAUGCUCGGUGUAGCAGUGAAAUGCGUAGAUAUCGAGAGGAACACUCGUGGCGAAGGCGGGUUCCUGGACAUUAACUGACGCUGAGGCACGAAGGCCAGGGGAGCGAAAGGGAUUAGAUACCCGAGUAGUC
rnacentral:rRNA from 1 species